rnacentral:rRNA from 1 species
AGCGAACGCUGGCGGCAGGCCUAACACAUGCAAGUCGAACGAACUCUUCGGAGUUAGUGGCGGACGGGUGAGUAACACGUGGGAACGUGCCUUUAGGUUCGGAAUAACUCAGGGAAACUUGUGCUAAUACCGAAUGUGCCCUUCGGGGGAAAGAUUUAUCGCCUUUAGAGCGGCUCGCGUCUGAUUAGCUAGUUGGUGAGGUAAAGGCUCACCAAGGCGACGAUCAGUAGCUGGUCUGAGAGGAUGAUCAGCCACAUUGGGACUGAGACACGGCCCAAACUCCUACGGGAGGCAGCAGUGGGGAAUCUUGCGCAAUGGGCGAAAGCCUGACGCAGCCAUGCCGCGUGAAUGAUGAAGGUCUUAGGAUUGUAAAAUUCUUUCACCGGGGACGAUAAUGACGGUACCCGGAGAAGAAGCCCCGGCUAACUUCGUG